rnacentral:rRNA from 1 species
GGAGGGUGCAAGCGUUAAUCGGAAUUACUGGGCGUAAAGCGCACGCAGGCGGUCUGUCAAGUCGGAUGUGAAAUCCCCGGGCUUAACCUGGGAACUGCAUUCGAAACUGGCAGGCUGGAGUCUUGUAGAGGGGGGUAGAAUUCCAGGUGUAGCGGUGAAAUGCGUAGAGAUCUGGAGGAAUACCGGUGGCGAAGGCGGCCCCCUGGACAAAGACUGACGCUCAGGUGCGAAAGCGUGGGGAGCAAACAGGAUUAGAUACCCUGGUAGUCCACGCCGUAAACGAUGUCGACUUGGAGGUUGUUCCCUUGAGGAGUGGCUUCCGGAGCUAACGCGUUAAGUCGACCGCCUGGGGAGUACGGCCGCAAGGUUAAAACUCAAAUGAGUUGACGGGGGCCCGCACAAGCGGUGGAGCAUGUGGUUUAAUACGAUGCAACGCGAAGAACCUUACCUACUCUUGACAUCCAGAGAACUUAGCAGAGAUGCUUUGGUACCUUCGGGAACUCUGAGACAGGUGC